CCCGGAGCCAACUGCCGCCGAGAAGCUGGGCCCGGGCCACGCCCCCACCCAAGACUCCGCCCCCUAAGAGAUUAAUGAGAAAUGUGAGCUUCCAAAGGAGACAUCCUUGUCUGAGCUGUCAUAUGUCCAAAGGAAAUGGAAUUAAAAAGCCACGUUAACAGGAGAAGCCUCAAACCAUGUAUCAGUUACACACAAGCCGUGUCUGUCCGAUCCCCCUGCCCUCUGUCGAGUUCAUCAAAGCUUCUGCUGACUCAAGAGGAAUCUGGAGAAUGAUCACUGCGGUGGAAGUACCAGAUCAUCC